GUUGGGCUGCAACACACACGAGGCCUUUUCGGUCCCUCGGUUAACCGUUGGAGCAUCAAACGAAGUCCAAAUGUUACGAAACUUGACAGGCGGUCUACCGGUAGUAAACCAAGGCCGCUUGGCAAGUCUUGGUCCAAUCCGAAAAUGUUUAAUCUCCACACACGAAAGAAAGGUUGAAAUGACCACCGGAGGAGAACGAAGCGCCGGAAUGCAAAACGGACAACGGGGAAAAUGCUC
rnacentral:rRNA from 1 species